rnacentral:piRNA from 1 species
UGCACUUCAAGGACCUCAUGAUGGUAUGA